AAACCGAUUCUGGCAACUAUCGAAAUGGAUUCUCAUUUUUAGCUCUUGUAAUAAGUUAAAAGUUCUAUUUUUGUUUACCUACCGUUCUUUAUUUCUAGGGCAGCGGGACGAACUGUUGAAGAGAUCAGAAAUCGGAUAUAAAUGACAUGUUAUAUAUUUUCCUUAUAUUGAUUUUUUGCGAAAUUUCCUUGAGGUUCAACCAAAUAUUAAACAUAGAUUUGCAUAACUCCUAGUCAAAGAUCA